UACGAAGGGGGCUAGCGUUGCUCGGAAUCACUGGGCGUAAAGCGCACGUAGGCGGCUUUGUAAGUUAGAGGUGAAAGCCCGGGGCUACAACUCCGGAAUUGCCUUUAAGACUGCAUCGCUAGAAUUGUGGAGAGGUAAGUGGAAUUCCGAGUGUAGAGGUGAAAUUCGUAGAUAUUCGGAAGAACACCAGUGGCGAAGGCGACU
rnacentral:rRNA from 1 species